rnacentral:rRNA from 1 species
AGAGUUUGAUCCUGGCUCAGGAUGAACGCUGGCGGAGUGCCUUAAGCAUGCAAGUGGAACGGUUUUUUAGCCGCAAGGUUGGAAGACAGUCGCGGACGGGUGAGUAAUACAUAGGAAUCUACCUUUUGGUGGGGAAUAACGGUUCGAAAGGACCGCUAAUACCGCAUAAUAUCGCAAGAUAAAAGGCCAUAACUGGCCGCCGAUUGAGGAGCCUAUGUCCUAUCAGCUAGUUGGUGGGGUAAAAGCCUACCAAGGCGAUGACGGGUAGCUGGUCUGAGAGGAUGGUCAGCCACAAUAGCACUGAGACACGGGCUAUACACCUACGGGUGGCAGCAACUGGGAAUAUUGCACAAUGGACGAAAGUCUGAUGCAGCGACUCCGCGUGAGGGAUGAAGGUCUUAGGAUCGUAAACCUCUUUUGACAGGGAAGCGUUUGCCGCAAGGCAAGCGGACGGUACCU